rnacentral:rRNA from 1 species
GACGAACCGUGCGACCGUUGUUCGGAAUCACUGGGCUUAAGGGGCGCGUAGGCGGCAGAUCAAGUCCGGGGUGAAAUCCUCCAGCUCAACUGGAGAAGUGCCUUGGAUACUGAUGUGCUCGAGGGAGGUAGGGGUCCGCGGAACUUCUGGUGGAGCGGUGAAAUGCGUUGAUAUCAGAAGGAACGCCGGUGGCGAAAGCGGCGGACUGGAUCUCUUCUGACGCUGAGGCGCGAAAGCUAGGGGAGCAAACGGG